GGAUGUGAGGGCAAUCUGGCGGCGACAUCUGUCACCCCACUGAUCGCCACGGUUGAUUUGGCUGAUCUGGCUGGCUAGGUGGGUGUCUCCUUCCUCCCUCACUGCUCCAUGCAUGUCCCUCCCAGAGCUGCGUGCUUGGUAGAAGAGGACCUUUUUUGAUAGAGGAGGACGGGUCUCGGGUCAAGGGUAUAUGAGUAGCAGGGCUGACAAAACCUCCAAAUAAGCUCUUAAAAUAUACAAAGAAGCAGUUGAGAAAAUUAAAGAAAUAGAAAUUUCACAAUCAGAGGCUCUCAUCUAACUGGUCUGU
rnacentral:snRNA from 1 species